GGGGGGGUGCCAGAGUGGUCGAAUGGGCUAGUCUCCAAAACUAGUUGUAGCUACACGUCAUGGGUUCGAAUCCCAAUCCCCCAUGCCA
rnacentral:tRNA from 1 species